AACACACAAACUUUAGUCAGACAGUUUAUCAAAAACGAGUAUGUUCAGGUCAACUACAGUAACAGAAUCCAAAGCAUCAAUUUAAGAAAAUUAUACUAGCAUUUAUUUUUGAAGUAAUCAACGCAAUGGACGUUUUAUUAAUCAAUAUGCUAAUACACCAAGCUCCAGCACAGCUAUAUAUUCAGAAACACCCAAGAAAUGUAUUUACUUAAAGUCAGAAAAUGUAAGUAUUUAUAUAAGAAAGUGUAAGUAUUUAUAUAUUUGUGUAAGAGCUGAAACUGAAUAUGCAUGUACUUGACAUACCAACGCAUUAAUUUCCAAUUUAGCUGAUUACAUACUUCAAGAAAUGUACUAGAAAAGUAUCUGAGAACAUAAGAACUCAGAAUUAUGUAGAAGCAAAAAUAAAUACCACUACUGUCGAUGCUACACAGCAAGACCACAGUACAGGAAUUGUCAAAUUUCCUUGCCAGAAGUCCUUGGAAAAUUUAUGAUUUUACGCUUCCAGAACUUAUUUGGGAAAUACAAUUUCAGAUUCUUUCGAAGACUUUUUAAGUGAAGAAGUCAAGCUGAAUUUUUUUUUUAGAAGACAAGGAAUGGUUCCUGCUGAAUAGGAAUUAUCAGCCACAAUGACUUUUUAAGCAACAAAAAUAUGGAAAGAAGUAACUUGAGAGAAAUGUUAUUUAAACACAACUGGAGAUGACUAUUAAUCAGCUCAUAUGGUGAAAGUAAUUCAAAAAGAAACAAACAUUGUUAUAUGACCUUAAUUAGCAUAACACCCCUUUUGAUUCACUUCACAGAAGUUCUAUUGCUAAGAAAACGAAUAACAUAAAACCAGAAAACACUACUUAAAAACAACCUGGUAUCUCUCUAGAAAGUCACUUGCUCAGUAAAAUUUUGAUUUUCCGAUCAUAUUACUCCGUCAAAGAAGGAACAACCAAGAUUUCAUGCGUGAGAAAACACUGAGUGACAGAUCUUGUUCGCUUCCUGUACAUCGCCCGCCCUCCCCUACCCCUCUGGAGGAAACCAGGCAGGCUCCUGGCUGCGGAGCUGGGGAUUUUCUUGUGAAAAUUUCUGAGGAAAAGAAGAGCCCGUCAGAGCCUGCUUGUUCACAACAGCUGAGGAGCUGCUGUCCCAGGCCACGUCACCAGGAGCCAGGAACAGUUAGCUGAAGCCCUCAAUGCCCUGCCACAAAACUGUGCCCGUGGCAGAGGUUUCUGAGAGCCGUAAGACCCUGCUCCAGGAGCAGGACAUCCUCCUGUGAUCCUUUUGGACACCCGCCAGCGGUUACGUGUGCGGUCACCUACGCGAAAAGCAGGAAGCACGGAAUUAGACAGGAAGGGAUUGAGGAAGGGAUGGGUCUGCUCCCCCCCCUGGGUCGCUUCCACCUUCCCAACACCUGUUGAGAGCCAAAGAUCAUCGAGAAAGAUAUUGAAGAGGACCGGCCCCAGUACUGAGCCGCGGGUGACCCCACUAGUGACCAGCCUCCAACUGGAUUUGGCUCCAUUCACCACAACUCUCUGGGCCCAGCCACCCAGCCAGUUUUUUACCCAACAAAGCCUACACCUAUCCAGGCCUUGAGCAGCCCGCUCCUUCAGGAGAAUGCUGUGGGGAAUGGUGUCAAAAGCCUUACUGAAGUCAAGGCAGACCACAUCCACAGCCUUCCCCUUGUCCACUGAGCAUGUCACCUUGUUGUCCUGGGUCCUCCUUCCAGCCCUGCUUGUAGAUGGGUGUCACAUUUGCCAGCCACCAGUUAUCUGGGACCUGCCCCGAUAGCCAGGACUGCUGAUACAUGAUGGAGAGCGGCUUGGCCAGCUCCUCCGCCAGCUCCUCAGUACCCUUGGGUGGAUCCCAUCCAUCCCCAUCGACUUGCGUACAUCCAAGUGGAGUAGCAGGUCGCCAGCCAUGUCCUCGUGGAUUGUGAGGGCUUCAUUCUGCUCCCUGUCCCUAUCUACCAGCUCAGGGCGCUGAGUACCUGGAGAACAACUGAAGGCUGAGGCAAAGAAGGCAUUAAGUACCUCAGCCUUUUCCUCAUCAUAUCACUGUUUCCCCCCACACCCAAUAAAGGAUGGAGAUUCUCCUCA